UACGUAGGGGGCAAGCGUUAUCCGGAAUUACUGGGUGUAAAAGGUGAGUAGGCGGCAUGGUAAGCCAGAUGUGAAAGCCUUGGGCUUAACCCGAGGAUUGCAUUUGGAACUAUCAAGCUAGAGUACAGGAGAGGAAAGCGGAAUUCCUAGUGUAGCGGUGAAAUGCGUAGAUAUUAGGAAGAACACCAGUGGCGAAGGCGGCUUUCUGGACUGAAACUGACGCUGAGGCACGAAAGCGUGGGGAGCGAACAGG
rnacentral:rRNA from 1 species